rnacentral:rRNA from 1 species
UGUGAACUCGAAGAGUAGGGCGGGACACGUGGUAUCCUGUCUGAAUAUGGGGGGACCAUCCUCCAAGGCUAAAUACUCCUGACUGACCGAUAGUGAACCAGUACCGUGAGGGAAAGGCGAAAAGAACCCCGGCGAGGGGAGUGAAAAAGAACCUGAAACCGUGUACGUACAAGCAGUGGGAGCACCUUCGGGUGUGACUGCGUACCUUUUGUAUAAUGGGUCAGCGACUUAUAUUCUGUAGCAAGGUUAACCGUAUAGGGGAGCCGCAGGGAAACCGAGUCUUAACUGGGCGUUAAGUUGCAGGGUAUAGACCCGAAACCCGGUGAUCUAGCCAUGGGCAGGUUGAAGGUUGGGUAACACUAACUGGAGGACCGAACCGACUAAUGUUGAAAAAUUAGCGGAUGACUUGUGGCUGGGGGUGAAAGGCCAAUCAAACCGGGAGAUAGCUGGUUCUCCCCGAAAGCUAUUUAGGUAGCGCCUCGUGAACUCAUCUUCGGGGGUAGAGCACUGUUUCGGCUAGGGGGUCAUCCCGACUUACCAACCCGAUGCAAACUACGAAUACCGAAGAAUGUUAUCACGGGAGACACACGGCGGGUGCUAACGUCCGUCGUGAAGAGGGAAACAACCCAGACCGCCAGCUAAGGUCCCAAAGUCAUGGUUAAGUGGGAAACGAUGUGGGAAGGCACAGACAGCCAGGAUGUUGGCUUAGAAGCAGCCAUCAUUUAAAGAAAGCGUAAUAGCUCACUGGUCGAGUCGGCCUGCGCGGAAGAUGUAACGGGGCUAAACCAUGCACCGAAGCUGCGGCAGCGACACUAUGUGUUGUUGGGUAGGGGAGCGUUCUGUAAGCCUGCGAAGGUGACCUGUGAGGGUUGCUGGAGGUAUCAGAAGUGCGAAUGCUGACAUAAGUAACGAUAAAGCGGGUGAAAAGCCCGCUCGCCGGAAGACCAAGGGUUCCUGUCCAACGUUAAUCGGGGCAGGGUGAGUCGACCCCUAAGGCGAGGCCGAAAGGCGUAGUCGAUGGGAAACAGGUUAAUAUUCCUGUACUUGGUGUUACUGCGAAGGGGGGACGGAGAAGGCUAUGUUAGCCGGGCGACGGUUGUCCCGGUUUAAGCAUGUAGGCUGGUUGUCCAGGCAAAUCCGGAUAAUCAAGGCUGAGGUGUGAUGACGAGG